rnacentral:rRNA from 1 species
GUGGAUUAGAUACCCGAGUAGUCCACGCCCUAAACGAUGUCGACUAGUCGUUCGGAGAGGUAACUCACUGAGUGACGCAGCUAACGCGUGAAGUCGACCGCCUGGGGAGUACGGCCGCAAGGUUAAAACUCAAAGGAAUUGACGGGGACCCGCACAAGCGGUGGAUGAUGUGGAUUAAUUCGAUGCAACGCGAAAAACCUUACCUACCCUUGACAUGCCUGGAAUCCUUGAGAGAUCAGGGAGUGCCUUCGGGAGCCAGGACACAGGUGCUGCACGGCUGUCGCCAACU